rnacentral:rRNA from 1 species
CUGGCUCAGAACGAACGCUGGCGGCGCGUUUAAGCAUGCAAGUCGAGCGGCAAGGGCCUUCGGGCCCCUAGAGCGGCGGACGGGUGAGUAACACGUGGACAAUCCUGCCCCCCGGCCCGGGAUAGCCCCAGGGAAACCUGGAUUAAUACCGGAUGAGACGGGACCCGCGAUGGCGGGACCCGGGAAGGCGCUGCGGCGCCGCCGGGGGAUGAGUCUGCGUCCCAUUAGCUAGACGGCGGGGUAACGGCCCACCGUGGCGACGAUGGGUAGCCGGCCUGAGAGGGUGGACGGCCACAUUGGAACUGAGACACGGUCCAGACUCCUACGGGAGGCAGCAGCUAAGAAUCUUCCGCAAUGGGCGAAAGCCUGACGGAGCGACGCCCGCGUGAACGAAGAAGGCCGUGAGGUUGUAAAGUUCUUUUCGGGAGGGGGAACAACCGUGGCAGGGAAUGGCCGCGGGAUGACGUGAAUCCCGGAAUAAGCCCCCGGCUAACUACGUGCCAGCCGCAGC